UCAAGUGAUACGGCUAAGACC
rnacentral:snRNA from 1 species